CUAAAUAUAUAUAGAUACGCCACUCCCCUGUUGGGGCUGGCGACACUACCGCCACGCCAAAAUUGCACCUGGUGGCAAUUCACAGGUACUACUUUUCGAUGUUUCCAAAGGGAAAAUUAUUUUUCCCCAGUUUCAGUUCAAGUGUUACGGUUGCAUCGUAGCAACAGCUGCUUUUCAAACUUUGUUUAUUUUCUGUCAACAUUUCACCAUCAAGUGGGACUUCAAAUCGUUGGCUUUUUUCCUCUUAGAAGAACCCGGUGCGAGCAUCUCUGACCACCGAAAAUCCUACAAACGGAGCCGUUUCCUCCGAGGUUGCCAUCCGUUCAUCUUGGAGACGUGUUAGCAAGCCCUCUGGUUGCACUCUAAACUUGAUUAACCCUGCCAACCAUUCCACCACAGCAAACGGAAACUGCGUAGCGUUAUAGAAUCUGACCGUAACUGUCGGUGCUUCUAGCGGACACAGCCUUCUCGUGUGAACAGAACUCAAGCAAAGCUUUUCCCGGGGCCCAGUUUCACAAGAACCACGGUGUGCGACAAUCCACCGUUGCCGGAAUAGCGGGAGCGAGCGGAAACACAAGUCUAAUCUAAACGUAUGCUGGGCACCAUGAUGAAAUGCCUCGAUUUUUGUUACAACUGUUUCUUGUUCUAUUUUGUUAGUUGAUAAUAAAACGUCGACCCAAUAAAACGGAUAUCAUACACCUA